rnacentral:rRNA from 1 species
GGAUUAGAUACCCUGGUAGUCCAUGCCGUAAACGAUGAAUGCUAGGUGUUGGAGGGUUUCCGCCCUUCAGUGCCGCAGCUAACGCAUUAAGCAUUCCGCCUGGGGAGUACGACCGCAAGGUUGAAACUCAAAGGAAUUGACGGGGGCCCGCACAAGCGGUGGAGCAUGUGGUUUAAUUCGAAGCAACGCGAAGAACCUUACCAGGUCUUGACAUCUUUUGAUCACCUGAGAGAUCAGGUUUCCCCUUCGGGGGCAAAAUGACAGGUGGUGCAUGGUUGUCGUCAGCUCGUGUCGUGAGAUGUUGGGUUAAGUCCCGCAACGAGCGCAACCCUUAUGACUAGUUGCCAGCAUUUAGUUGGGCACUCUAGUAAGACUGCCGGUGACAAACCGGAGGAAGGUGGGGAUGACGUCAAAUCAUCAUGCCCCUUAUGACCUGGGCUACACACGUGCUACAAUGGAUGGUACAACGAGUUGCGAGACCGCGAGGUCAAGCUAAUCUCUUAAAGCCAUUCUCAGUUCGGACUGUAGGCUGCAACUCGCCUACACGAAGUCGGAAUCGCUAGUAAUCGCGGAUCAGCACGCCGCGGUGAAUACGUUCCCGGGCCUUGUACACACCGCCCGUCACACCAUGAGAGUUUGUAACACCCGAAGCCGGUGGCGUAACCCUUUUAGGGAGCGAGCCGUCUAAGGUGGGACAAAUGAUUAGGGUGAAGUCGUAACAAGGUAGCCGUAGGAGAACCUGCGGCUGGAUCACCUCCUUUCUAAGGAA